rnacentral:tRNA from 4 species
GCUGCCGUAGUUCAAUGGAUAGAACAAGAAGUUCCUAAUUUCUAAAUGUAGGUCCGAUUCCUACCGGUGGCACCA